UACAGAGGGUGCGAGCGUUAAUCGGAAUUACUGGGCGUAAAGCGUGCGUAGACGGCUAUCUAAGUCGGGUGUGAAAGCCCCGGGCUCAACCUGGGAAUUGCAUUCGAGACUGAAUAGCUAGGGUACGGUAGAGGGAAGCGGAAUUUCCGGUGUAGCGGUGAAAUGCGUAGAUAUCGGAAGGAACAUCAGUGGCGAAAGCGGCUUCCUGGACCGUACCGGACGUCAGGCACGAAAGCGUGGGGAGCAAACAGGAAUUAGAUACCCCGU
rnacentral:rRNA from 1 species